UGGGGAAUCUUGCGCAAUGCGCGAAAGCGUGACGCAGCAACGCCGCGUGGGGGAAGAAUGCCUUCGGGUUGUAAACCCCUUUCAGGAGGGACGAAGGCUCGGUCGGUGAAUAGCCGGCCGGGUUGACGGUACCUCCACAAGAAGCUCCGGCUAACUACGUGCCAGCAGCCGCGGUAAUACGUAGGGGGCAAGCGUUGUCCGGAAUCAUUGGGCGUAAAGAGCGUGUAGGCGGCCCGGUAAGUCUGUUGUGAAAGUCCAGGGCUCAACCCUGGAAAGCCGAUGGAUACUGCCGGGCUAGAGUUCGGAAGAGGCGAGUGGAAUUCCUGGUGUAGCGGUGGAAUGCGCAGAUAUCAGGAGGAACACCUAUAGCGAAGGCAGCUCGCUGGGACGACACUGACGCUGAGACGCGAAAGCGUGGGGAGCGAACAG
rnacentral:rRNA from 1 species